rnacentral:lncRNA from 1 species
CUCUAAUGUGUGUGACCCCGCAGAUUCGAACCUAAGCCGGUAGCACAGGAACCAAUUCUUGUACUAAUCGAAGUGACCAUCUGCAAUGGUACCCGACAUCUGGGUAGGUCGAAUAGUCGCAAUCGUAACAUUCAGAACCUACGUGAAUAUGGCUACUAUAUAAUUCAUCCCCUUUGACCCCUGUGUUUAGGACGACUCAGGGUUAAACUGUCAACCCUGAUUAGAUCAUCCGAAUCAUGCUCAACUCAAACAGUCCUGUGACUCCUCACUAGGACUACCC